rnacentral:rRNA from 1 species
UACGUAGGUGGCAAGCGUUAUCCGGAAUUAUUGGGCGUAAAGAGCGCGCAGGUGGUUAAUUAAGUCUGAUGUGAAAGCCCACGGCUUAACCGUGGAGGGUCAUUGGAAACUGGUUGACUUGAGUGCAGAAGAGGGAAGUGGAAUUCCAUGUGUAGCGGUGAAAUGCGUAGAUAUCAGGAGGAACAUCGGUGGCGAAAGCGCUUUACUGGACCAUUAUUGACGCUGAGGAACGAAAGCCAGGGGAGCAAAUGGG